rnacentral:lncRNA from 1 species
GCCACCUUCUCUUUCUCUCUCUCUUUUUUUUUUUUUUUGGUAUCAGGGAUUGAACCCAGGGCCGCUCAACCACUAAGCCCCAUCCCCAGCCCUUUUUUUUUAUACAUUUUAUUUCGAGACAGGGUGUCACUAAGUUGUUUAGGGCCUUGCUGAGUUUCUGAGGCUGGCAUUGAACUCAUGAUCUUCCUGCCUUAGCCUCCCAAGCUGCUAGGAUUGGUAUGUGUCACUGCACCCAGCUUACCUUCUUUCUUGUUGGUAGAAGUGAAGUUAAUAAAUGCUACUGACAACUGUGCCUUUCUGAAGAUGUUCACACACAGAGAGGAAAGCACAGCCACUAGAUGAAGCUGGCACAGAAGACUGUCUGGACACUAUUUUGUGAAUCAAUAAAUGUCCUCAUUGUUUAAACCAGUUUAAAUUAGGUUUUUCGAACCCAAAUCCCUAUACUUCUUAAGUGGCUCAAGAAGUAUUCUAGCUAGGUGCAAUGGUGCACGCCUGUAAUACCAGUGACUCCGGAGGCUGAGCAGAAGGAUCACAAGUCCAAGGCGAGCCUCAGAAACUUAGCAAGACCCUCAGCAACAUGGCAAUACCCUGUCUCAAAAUUAAAAAUAGAAAAGGCUGGGAAUGUAGCUCAGUGGUAAAGUGACCCAGGUUCAAUUGCCAGUACCAAAAAAAAAAGAAAAAAGUAUUCUUAUUUAAUUAGAUUUUUCACCCCUGGUACUNUGACAUGCUUUGUGAAGGAGACUAACUGUUGGUCAUUUAAAAAUUUUUUUUGGUAUUAGGGAUGUUUCAAACCCAAGGGUGCUUUACCACUAAACCACAUCCCAUCCUUUUCACUUUUAUUUUUAUUUUUAACUUGGAGACAGGUUCUUGUUGCUGAAGCUCUCACUAAAUUACCCAGGUUCACUUUGAACUUGAUUUACUUUCGUUAGCCUCCUGAAUUGCUAGGAUCAUAUGUUUGUGCCACAGCGCCCAGUCCAUUUGUUUUGUCAUAGACCAUUUUAUUUUGUUAUGGUCUUUCUUUUUGUCUCAUGUUUUCAGUCCUGCCUUUCCUUUAAAAAGAGUCUCCUUUCUUGACUUUGUUUUGGGUUUAAUUUUUGCUCAAUUUUUUUUUUCUAAUUUGUUUUGGUUUGGAAGUUAUGUUCUGUCUUUUUAAAUUUAUUUUUUAUUGAAAUAUAAUAUUUGUACAUCUUUAUGGUGUCAUGAGCCAUCUGUGGGCUGUGUGUGUGAGCUAUGCACAUUAGAGCUAUAUGAAGGGACAGGUCUGGCAUUGCAUGCUGAUUGGGCUGUGUGACGCAAGUGCUCUGCGUCCUCUUGCUCUGCCUGUGAUUCCCAUAUAGCACCUGAGAUGGGUGUAACUUGCCAAGAUGUUAGUCAAUCUGCUGACCACAAGACAUCACAAAGCAAGACUCCACCUUUGAAACAUUAUCCCCUGCCUUAUUUGGUGAAGAACAUUCCAUCAAAUCUCCUUUGUGUGUACCCCCUAUAAAAAUAAAGAGAUUCUGGGUGCACAUUCUCUUUCCCAGUUGACCCUUAAGGUCGAAGAGCUGUCCUACCCUCAAUCUGAGAAACUCAUUUCCAUGUGUUACAUGAAAACACAUGUAUCUUUAUUUUAUUUUCUUCGCAGUUUUCUUAUCUUAAUCUUGCAGCCAGCUCUUUUGAACCCAGCUCAUCUAGUCAACGUGGGCAGAUGGCGAGAUUAUGGGAUAUGUUAUGUUAAUUCAAUACAUGCAUACAGUGUGUAAUAAUAAAAUCAGAGUAAUAUGCAUUUUCACCUCUUCCACCAUUAAUCAUUUUUACAUUUUGAGAAUUUUGUAAUCUUUUCUAGUAAUUUUGAAAUAUAUCGUAGUUUUUAACCAAAAAACCCUAAUGUGCAAAAGAAGUAAUUCCACCAUUCUAACUUCUUUCCAACUCUGACCCCUACUGUCCUUUCCAGUCUCCAGUGAACACUAUUUCAUUCCAUUCCUCUACAAGACUGACUUAAUUAGUUUCCACGAAUGAGUGAGAACAUAUGGUCUUUGUCUUUCUGUGUCUGGAUUAUUUUACUUAACAUAGUGUCCUCCAGUUUGAUCCAUAAUGCUACAAAUGACGUGGAUUACAUUCUUUUUUAUGGCCAAAUAGUAUUCCUCUGUGUAAAUAUAAUAUUUUCUUUUUCCCUUCACUUACUAAAGGGCAUCUGGGUUGAUUCCCUAUUUUAGUUAUUAUGAUGAGUGCUGCAGUACACAUGGGAGUACAAGUUUCUUUUCAGUGUAUUGACUUCAUCUCCUUUGGAUAUGUAUACCAGUAGUAGAAUUGCUGAAUCAUAUGGUAAUUUUAUUUUUAAUUUAUUGGAGGGACCUCCAUACUGUUUUCUAUGGUGGCUGUACUAAUUUAUAUACUCACUGACAGCAAUAAGAGUUCCUUUUUUUCCCCUGCAGUCUCACUAGCAUUUAGUGCCCCAACGGCUUACAUUAAUCAAUGUCCUAUUAUUCUCUCACAGAGUAUAAAGAUAUUAG